rnacentral:rRNA from 1 species
AACGUAGGUUCCGAGCGUUAUCCGGAUUUACUGGGCGUAAAGCGCGUUCAGGCGGUUUGGCAAGUCGGGCAUGAAAUCUCUCGGCUCAACCGGGAGAGGUUGUCCGAUACUGCUGGACUUGAGGGCAGUAGAGGGUGGUGGAAUUCCGGGUGUAGUGGUGAAAUGCGUAGAUAUCCGGAGGAACAUCAGUGGCGAAAGCGGCCCCCUGGACCGCUACUGACGCUGACGCGCGAAAGCUUGGGGAGCGAACGGG